CCUACGUGAGGCAGCAGUGAGGCAUAUUGGUCAAUGGGCGCGAGCCUGAACCAGCCAAGUAGCGUGAAGGAUGACUGCCCUACGGGUUGUAAACCUCUUUUAUAGAGGAAUAAAGUGAGGCACGUGUGCCUUUUUGUAUGUACCUUAUGAAAAAGGAUCGGCUAACUCCGUGCCAGCAGCCGCGGUAAUACGGAGGAUCCGAGCGUUAUCCGGAUUUAUUGGGUUUAAAGGGAGCGUAGAUGGGUUGUUAAGUCAGUUGGGAAAGUUGGGGGCUCAACCGUAAAAUUGCAAUUGAUACUGGGAGUCUUGAGUACACUUGAGGUAGGCGGAAUGCGUGGUGUAGCGGUGAAAUGCAUAGAUAUCACGCAGAACUCCGAUUGCGAAGGCGGCAUACCGGCGCCCAACUGACGCUCAGGCACGAAAGCGUGGGUAUCGAACAGGAUUAGAUACCCCAGUAGUC
rnacentral:rRNA from 1 species